UACAGAGGUCUCAAGCGUUGUUCGGAUUCAUUGGGCGUAAAGGGUGCGUAGGUGGCGCCAUAAGUCAGGUGUGAAAUCUCGGGGCUCACCCCCGAAACUGCACUUGAUACUGUGGUGCUCGAGUACUGGAGAGGAGAUUGGAAUUUACGGUGUAGCAGUGAAAUGCGUAGAUAUCGUAAGGAAGACCAGUGGCGAAGGCGAAUCUCUGGACAGUUACUGACACUGAGGCACGAAGGCCAGGGGAGCAAACGGGG
rnacentral:rRNA from 1 species